AUUCCAGCUCCAAUAGCGUAUAUUUAAGUUGUUGCAGUUAAAAAGCUCGUAGUUGGAUUUUGGGUCGGGGGCACCGGUCCGCCGUUCCGGUGUGCACUGGUGGCCCCUUCCUUUCUGCCGGGGACGUGCGUCGCACUUAAUUGGGUGGCGUUCGGAGUCGGCGUUGUUACUUUGAAAAAAUUAGAGUGUUCAAAGCAAGCCAUCGCUCUGAAUACAUUAGCAUGGAAUAACAUGAUAGGACUCUGGUCUUAUUUUGUUGGUUUCCGAGACUGGAGUAAUGAUUAAGAGGGACAGUCGGGGGCAUCCGUAUUUCAUUGUCAGAGGUGAAAUUCUUGGAUUUAUGAAAGACGAACUUCUGCGAAAGCAUUUGCCAAGGAUGUUUUCAUUA
rnacentral:rRNA from 1 species